rnacentral:rRNA from 1 species
AUUGAACGCUGGCGGCAGGCUUAACACAUGCAAGUCGAGCGGAGUGAUGGUGCUUGCACCAUCACUUAGCGGCGAACGGGUGAGUAAUGCCUAGGAAUCUGCCCAUUAGCGGGGGACAACGUGUGGAAACGCACGCUAAUACCGCAUACGCCCUACGGGGGAUAGCAGGGGACUCUUUGAGCCUUUCACUACUGGAUGAGCCUAGGUCAGAUUAGCUAGUUGGUGGGGUAAAGGCCUACCAAGGCGACGAUCUGUAGCGGGUCUGAGAGGAUGAUCCGCCACACUGGAACUGAGACACGGUCCAGACUCCUACGGGAGGGAGCAGUGGGGAAUAUUGGACAAUGGGCGCAAGCCUGAGCCAGCCAUGCCGCGUGUGUGAAGAAGGCCUUUUGGUUGUAAAGCAUUUUAAGCGAGGAGGAGGCUUACCUGGUUAAUACCUGGGAUAAGUGGACGUUACUCGCAGAAUAAGCACCGGCUAACUCUGUG